GAGAGUGCUUUCAGUCAAGCAAGACUACAAAUCAGUGAUCAUAGAGCGUCGAUGCGGGAGGGCUUGGAAAAAUCAGUGCUUUUUAGAGAUUGAAUACGGCGGAAAGAAGAAACUUUGGCACUGCAGAAUCACAACCAGCAAUAGAUGAAGCAUAUGAAGAAAUGAUAGCAGAACUUUCUGAGGAAUCGGCUUCACCCGGA
rnacentral:lncRNA from 1 species